rnacentral:misc_RNA from 1 species
GGGUUUUCCUCUGUUUGAUUGAUGGGUUCGAAUACCCACCAGAGUUUUCAGCAGCCCAAUUCGGCGUUGCUUCGAUUUCGCUCUGCUCCCAGUUCUUUGUUUGCCGAUUUCGCUCAGGGGAUUGAUUCUAAGCGCUCGAAUCCCUUCGAGGGCUCUGAAUCGGAGCGGUUGGUUUCUAGAUUUGGGAAUCGCGGUGGCGGCGGUAACAGUAAUGAUUCGGAAUCUCCGGCAGCCGGAAAUUACUCUUCCGGUCUGCCGCCGCAUUAUCCCCGGCUGAGCUCCG